rnacentral:tRNA from 1 species
UUACAGUAGCUCAAUCGGUAGAGCGUGUGGCUCUUAUAUUCCAAAAAGUGACCUCAAGGUCGCGGGUUCGAGCCCCGCCUUGUAAG